rnacentral:sRNA from 1 species
AUUCUAGUUCUUAUACUCAAUCAUACACAUGACAUAUA